UAGGGAAUCUUCGGCAAUGGGGGGAACCCUGACCGAGCAACGCCGCGUGAGUGAAGAAGGUUUUCGGAUCGUAAAGCUCUGUUGUUAAGGAAGAACGAGUGUGAGAAUGGAAAGUUCAUACUGUGACGGUACUUAACCAGAAAGGGACGGCUAACUACGUGCCAGCAGCCGCGGUAAUACGUAAGGUCCGAGCGUUGUCCGGAAUCAUUGGGCGUAAAGGGUACGUAGGCGGGUAAGCAAGUUAGAAGUGAAAUCCUGUAGCUCAACUACAGUAAGCUUUUAAAACUGCUCAUCUUGAGAUAUGGAAGGGAAAGUGGAAUUCCUAGUGUAGCGGUGAAAUGCGCAGAUAUUAGGAGGAAUACCGGUGGCGAAGGCGACUUUCUGGCCAUAAUCUGACGCUGAGGUACGAAAGCGUGGGUAGCAAACAGG
rnacentral:rRNA from 1 species